rnacentral:tRNA from 1 species
UGGGGUGGGCUCAGUGGUAGAGUGCUUGGUUAGCAUGCUUGAAGUCCUAGGUUCAAUCCCUAGCACUUCAA